rnacentral:lncRNA from 1 species
CCCCACGUUCACAUAAUAAAAUAUUUCAUACAUAAACUCAAAAAAUUUCCAUCUUUUUUAAUCACACAUUCUCCUAAACAUUACUGUUCAAAACUCUAUUUUCCUCAAAUAGUGGGUGUCAUACAAUAGCCAUAUUGGUUACAAAUUGAGCAUCUAAAAAAGCUGGUUGGUAUUGUGAGGUCUAUCUUCCAUUGCAGAUUUUCAAUUAAAUCAUAUGACUAGAGGUACACAGUUAAUUUCAUACAAAAAUAUCAUCAAGUAUUGAAUUGAUUAGAUAUAAAUGGUACAAAAGAUUUCAUUGGACUUGUAUAUCACGAAACUUUGCAUAUACUCUGGACAAAAGGUUGCUUAUAAUAUUCCAAUAUUUGAGCGGUUCCCUUCUGGUGAUGAUUGCCUUGAGAAAUUCUAUUGAACCAGUGGGAUAUUGGCAAUAUCUCGUCUGCAUGGAGUGUGGCAACUCAAACUUGAUCAUUCGAUUUGAAUGCAUAUUCCCCCAAAAAGGGGAAUAGGUCAUAUUGUUCGUCAAAGUGUUUCCUGUCCACUCUCAGCAUCUCGGUCAAGCUUUGUUGGCUCUAUAAAUGUAACGACGUUGUUUUGCAGAUCAUAAGAUAGAGCACUGGAAGUAUAUAAACUGUCAUCAAAGAGAUAACGGUGACAUCCACAAGAACGCAAUAAUCUACCUGCAGGAGAAUUCCAUUAAUCAGCUAUGCAAAUAAAUUCUAUCAAAAUCUCUGUUAUCAGAUAUAUAUAGUUAAAUAAAGACAACGUAGUCAGUGCAUAAAGUGUUAAAGUGAGUAAAAUUUCUCGGCUCAAUUCUCAGUACUAUCACGUUCACAAGUGCAAUGGUAAGAAUCACCUUCAGUAGUUGUACGAGCACACUAAAAAUACCUUCGCUCACACACACUGAGA